rnacentral:rRNA from 1 species
GACGAACGCUGGCGGCGUGCUUAACACAUGCAAGUCGAACGAAAAGAGGGAAAGAGCUUGCUCUUUCCGGAAUUGAGUGGCAAACGGGUGAGUAACACGUAAACAACCUGCCUUCAGGAUGGGGACAACAGACGGAAACGACUGCUAAUACCGAAUAAGUUCCAAGGGCCGCAUGGCCCAUGGAAGAAAAGGUGGCCUCUACCUGUAAGCUAUCGCCUGAAGAGGGGUUUGCGUCUGAUUAGCUGGUUGGAGGGGUAACGGCCCACCAAGGCGACGAUCAGUAGCCGGUCUGGGAGGAUGAACGGCCACACUGGAAUUGAGACACGGUCCAGACUCCUACGGGAGGCAGCAGUGGGGAAUCUUCCGCAAUGGGCGAAAGCCUGACGGAGCAACGCCGCGUGAGUGAUGACGGCCUUCGGGUUGUAAAACUCUGUGAUCCGGGACGAAAAGGCAGAGUGCGAAGAACAAACUGCAUUGACGGUACCGGAAAAGCAAGCCACGGCUAACUACGUG